rnacentral:rRNA from 1 species
UACGGAAGGCAGCAGUGGGGAAUAUUGCACAAUGGGCGCAAGCUUGAUGCAGCCAUGCCGCGUGUAUGAAGAAGGCCUUCGGGUUGUAAAGUACUUUCAGUCGUGAGGAAGGUGUUAAGGUUAAUAACCUUAGCAAUUGACGUUAGCGACAGAAGAAGCACCGGCUAACUCCGUGCCAGCAGCCGCGGUAAUACGGAGGGUGCGAGCGUUAAUCGGAAUUACUGGGCGUAAAGGGCACGCAGGCGGUUAAUUAAGUUGGAUGUGAAAUCCCCGGGCUUAACCUGGGAAUGGCAUUCAAGACUGGUUAGCUAGAGUCUUGUAGAGGGGGUAGAAUUCCGAUGUGUAGCGGUGAAAUGCGUAGAGAUGUGGAGGAAUACCGGUGGCGAAGGCGGCCCCUGGACAAAGACUGACGCUCAUGUGCGAAAGCGUGGGGAGCAAAC